rnacentral:tRNA from 1 species
GCCCUGGUGGCAUAAGGAGUUAAGCAUUCAGCUGCUAACUGAAAGGUUGGAGGUUCAGACCCACCCAGUGGCU